CACUUUUGGUGGCGAUGGUGUAACCGGUGGAUGUGGUGGGGCCACUUUUGGUGGCGAUGGUGUAACCGGUGGACGUUGUGGGGCCACUUUUGGAGGGAAAGGAGGUGUAUUAGGUUGGUGGGGUGGUGACACACUUGGUGGAGGAAAUGGAUAGUUAUGAGGUGGGAAUGGAGGGAAGUAGGGGAAGUUGAAAUUUUGAACAUUUGCCAUUGCAAUGGAAGUUUUUGUUACUUUGCUAAAAGCUUAUACUGAGUAAGAUGUUUUUAUGAUGAUGUUUAUUGUUAGUGUUGAGUUUGAGUAUAUAUAUUACUUAGGUGUUAGUAUGAUAAUACUUGUAAGGUUGUUAUAACUUGACUCUUAGGCUAAGUUUUGCCAAGUUGUCAUUGAUUGCAUUCCAAAACACUCAUUUUUAUUCA